UACGGGGGGUGCGAGCGUUGUCCGGAAUCACUGGGCGUAAAGGGCGCGUAGGCGGCUUGAUAAGCGUGCGGUGAAAGCCCCGGGCUCAACCUGGGAACGGCGCGCGAGACGGGGGGGCUGGAGUUCGGGAGAGGAGCGUGGAAUUCCCAGUGUAGAGGUGAAAUUCGUAGAUAUUGGGAAGAACACCGGUGGCGAAGGCGGCGCUCUGGACCGAGACUGACGCUGAGGCGCGAAAGCGUGGGGAGCAAACAGG
rnacentral:rRNA from 1 species